rfam:Triticum aestivum genome assembly, contig: Triticum_aestivum_CS42_TGACv1_scaffold_579648_7BL
UAAGUACUCCCUCCGUACCAAAAUUCUUGUCUUAGAUUUGUCUAAAUACGGAUGUAUCAAGUCACGUUUUAGUAUUAGAUACAUCCGUAUCUGGGCAAAUCUAAGACAAGAAUUUUGGGACGGAGGGAGUAUAUA